UGGGGUAUCGCCAAGUGGUAAGGCACCGGUUUUUGGUAUCGGCAUUCGGAGGUUCGAAUCCUCCUACCCCAGCCA
rnacentral:tRNA from 1 species